AUUCUCCCACUCAAACCGGAAGCCAAGGAGCUCCCCUUUCCACUUCCGGGUAGCUGGAGGCUACUUAGGCGAGAGCUGAAGGACCAGUAGCUUCUCAUCACACCUGGAAUAGCAGUUGCCCCAUCACUAACUUACAGGAACACUCUGAAUGAUAAAUUUAUUUGUAACAUUUUACUCUGCUCUUCAGCUGAAGGAACUUCCAGAGGACUUCGUACAGAAAGAAGAUGAGCUCAUCAGGGAAGAGAAAAGG